GGGCGCUGGCCGCACAUCAGAGGCCCGCGGUGAGGGCUGUUUUGCUCAGGAAGCUGGGGACAUGUGUCACGGUGGAGAACAAACCGGGGCACAGAGGUGCCGCGUGGCCCUCCCCCAGCCCCUGCCCCUUAUCAGCUUCCUCCGCCCUCUGGCUGCACACAAAGGGCCGCGUACCUGGGCCGGGGGACGCGGUGACACAGGAUGUUCCCAGCAUUUUGGAUAUUUCCUCCCUGUCUGACUGAUGUGUCCUAGAGCGAGCGCCGGGAUUCUCCAGGGAGCCCGGGGCUGUAAAAAUCUCCACAACACGCUGCUCUGUGACACGGUCCACAUUUGACAGAAGAAGAAGCCAAGGCUGAUGGAGUGCAGUGGCCAGGUCAUGCUGCUGGUAGGUGGCAGGUCUGCAGGCUGCCAGAACCCAACUGCAUGGCAAGCCCAUAUGCCCCGUGCCAGGGAGUGCCACAGGCCAUGACCCCCAGUCUGUGGGGCUGUGUCCUGGCCUCGGGCUGUCUUCAGCACACUAAGACCUGGAGAGUGUGGGUCCUGACUGUCUUUCAGAGUCACGGGGCUGCCAGGGCCGGGGCCCAGCUGGACGGAGAGCAGGGGGCACAGACUCUGUCUCGGGGCUCUGCAGACAGGGAGGCUCCGUCCCCUUAACCCCAAGUGUGAUAGGAAAUCAGUUCAGGACAGGGACUGGCGGGGCAGAGGCGAUGCACCAGUGGGCACGCGCAUUGGGAGUCAGCUCUCCCUGGACCAGCGUGGCCAAUGAGAGCCCCUGGGUGUGCACAAUGCGGGUGCCAGGAUUCCAGAACAUUCUGUGCUUAGUCUGCUAACUGUGAACAGGCUAUGGUGCCUCUUCCAGGCUCGGGCUCCUCGGAGCUGCCCCUGGACUGGCGGGCACCUGCUCCUGGGUGUUGUGGAAGUGUAAAAGAGUGGCACGCUGAGCUCCCUUCUGUGCGGGGACCCCCGAUACACCCGGGUUUGCAGUGACAGGUCAGCCCUGGAGGCCUGAGAGGCGAGGUCCCCGUGGCAGGCCAGGAGCUUGGGACUUGGGGGCUGCACAAAGCCGGACACGGGCUGCAGGGGUCACCUCCCCUCAAGCGUCUCCUGCGUGUCCACACGCUGUUCCUGAGGCAUCCUCGGCCCUGUGUCAGCUCACAGGAUAGAUCUCAUGGUGUGGAGUGUCAGCUGAUAAGCUGGAUAAAUGUCUCACGAUGUGGAUAUGUUACACAGUGCGCUAUAUUGUGUGGCAAAGCUAACAACGUAAUGCGUGCAGAUGACAGUGAAUUAAGCUCACAGCAGGUCCUGAGGGGUUUGAGGACUCCCCAGGCAGUAGUGAGGCCAGAUGGGGUCACACCCGCCCACGCCCAGGUACUCAGGAAGAAGCACUGGGCUUCAGGAAGGCGAAGGCUGCUGUGACCCUGGGAGCCCCUGACAAGGUCAUCACAGCGCCAUGGCCAGGAAGGUGCAGGACAAGCUGCCUCAGCCACUUCCAGCAUUGCACUGAGGACAGCAGAGCCUGGACACCCACCGAGGAUCCCAGCCUUCACCUGGCCUGGGUGCUGGGAACCUGGGGGCUGCCGCUCCCUUCGGGCCCCAGAGAGACCAGGACUGCAUCCCCCUGGAGCUGCAUUCUGCAGCCCUGGACCAGACGCCCGAGCCACGCAUCCGCUCCUCCUGUGGUAGGAAGGAAAAACUCCAGACACAAUUAGAAGCCUUUAGGGGCAAGUGGAAAGUUCUCAGGAAAUGUAUUAUCAUUGGCUCAGCCUUCCCCUCUCGCUGGCCGGAGGGAGAGGGGUGCGUGGUGUUCGCCUCACCUGCGGGGCUAUUGCCCUGGCCCCUGCGUCCCAGCCCAGCUCUCCCCGCCAGACAGGAAAUAGGGUUCCCUUCUCCUGUGUCUGCGUCCCCCGACACAUUCUUAGGAGGAUCAUUGAGGCUGUCGGCCUUGAAGGAUGGACGCCCGGCCAAGGAGGCCCUGACGACCGUGUAGGUGCAGGGAUACCAUCUGAGCACCCUGUGCCUCAGUUUCCCCAUUUCAGGAUGGCCUGAGGCAGGAGGGCAUAGCUUGGAGGACAUUUUAGAGUCCUAAGAUUCUUUCUUUUGACAAAGAAAAUCCAGAGGCAGUUUGGGCUCUUGGUUAAAAGCAGAGCUCCCGGCCAGUGGUGGGGCCUCAGCCCCCCUAGACGUGAGACCUCAGAAAGUGGCUGCCCGCGCUGGGCCUCGGCUUCCCCGUCUGUAAGGGAGGUGAGAGGAGCGGGCAGAGGCGCGGGGCUCUGGCCUCUGGAGGAGGAGCGGGCAGUCUGCAGCCUGCUGGGCACCCGGAGGGGCCACCAACGCCCCAGGCUCUGAGGACUCUGCCGCCACCCUGCGUCCCUCUCCAGCAGACCCUGUGGGCUCCAGGGAAAGGGCCAGGGGCGGGGGCCGCCUGUCCACCCCAGCUGUCCCCUGGACACCAUCACUGCGCUUCAGCGCUGGUCCAGAAUUCAGCUUGGGGAAUGAGCCAUGAGCAGAGGUGACUGAGCCUGGCAGGCAUCUGGCAGCAAACGCACCACUGGAGAGCUGGAUCUGCGUGCCAAUUAUUCCUCCCCAACCCAUGCCUCAGUUUCCCCAAGUCUAGUUAGCUAUUCAGUUGCUUUGAGAAGCCCCGCGGAGAUGAGGGAGAGACUGUGGAUGUCAGCUUGGUGCCUGGCUCGUCCGACAGGCUCCGUGGUGGGUGCACACAUGGAUUGGUCCAAGGGCAGUGGGCCCUGGUCCCCCCAAGAAAUCAGCAGGAAAUGGGGUUCGUCCAGCGCCAUUGACCGAACCGUGGAGAACCACAGCAUCCCCAGAGGCAAGAGACGAUCAGCGGGGACCAGGAGGGCGAUGGCCCCGCCUGUGCCCUCCCGCCACUCCCCAGUGUGACUUUUUCACACACCAGGGUUGCUGCUGGCAGCCGCUGUGUGCAGCUCUGGGCCCACAUUUGAUCCCAGCCCUGCUACAGAGCUGGAGGCCACGUGGGCGCGCAGCUCCUGCUGUAUGGUGUGUGACACAAAGUCCAGGCGGCAUUUCAGGGUGCACCUGAGAACCGGAGGUGUUUAGAGUGGCUGUUAGAGCUUUCUGACGGUUCCAUCCCCUCGGAUAAACCCAGCUUCUGCGCUGCCUGCGGUCCCGAAAGCAUGUUGGAGGACACUUGGAGGACCUGGGGCACUGGGAGCUCCUCUGUCGCCACAGACACGGAGCAGUGGUGCUCUCGUAGCUGGGCCCUGCGGCUGUGGCCAGCACUGAGGGGGCGGGAAGACCCGCGGGAAGGCGCUUCUCCCCACACGCCCAGAAGCCUCCAUGAAUUCUGCUGCCCGGUCUAUACCUGGGGCCCCUCGUCUGUGUCAACCCUGCCUGUGCUGCAGGCUGGGUGGGGCACCCAAGCACCCAUGUCCAGCCUGGCCCGCCCAGCCUCCCUCUCCCAGCCUGGGCAUGACUACGGCAGCUACACACGGGGAAACUGAGGCUCACUCCAGGGUUUGUGCCUUCCUCAGGGUGCUGCCCGGGCAGCACCUUCCUUGGUUCCCUGCUGUGUCCUCGAGGACACCAGGGCCACACGGGCAGGAGGAGGCCUUGAAUCCUCCGGCUCAGGAAGAGCAAAUCCGCUCUCUGCUUUCCCAGAACCCAGGCUCCGCACUUGAGAAUGUGUUGUUUUUGAGCCGGAGCCCAUCGCGGGCCUGGACUUUGAUGAAAGAGGGCGGGUUGUUUUCCUAAAAGUGUUGGGACAGAGCCCAUGGAUCGGCAGGAUUUCAGGUGCGGUGACUCAGCCUCCCUGGUGGGGCCACCUUCCCGGCACGGCUGCACGUGGGACAGGGUUAGAAUCCGCGUUAGGGUUAGGGUUAGGGUUGGAGUUAGGGUUAGGGCUAGUGUGGGGUAGGGCUAGGGUUAGGCUUGGGCCUCUGGUUGGCAUUUGUGUUGGGGUCGAUGGAUGGCUUCCAGUUCUCAUCAGCGCUUCAGCAGUCCAUCCAGACGAUGCCCAAGAACCCACUGACCCUCAGUCCUCAGGAAGCCGCUUCCUGGUGACUCCUGAGGUUGGUGGCGAUCACCUGAGUGCCGCCCUCCUGAGUGGCAGAGAUGGAGCGCACGUCCUGUCCUGCAUCCUAGAUUCCAGGUUGUUUAAGAAACACAACAGGCACCUGCAUGCUGCUCAAGUGCUGGCCCUGGGUCCUACCUUGUAGAUACGCCUGCGCAAGAAGAUGCCAGAACUGAGCCCCAGCCGGGGAAGGCCGGACACAAGGCUUGGGAUGCGAGAAUCACACGGAGGUGGAGGGUGGGCUCGAGCGACUGGAGCUCUGUGAUCCCCGCUCCUCUCCCUGGGUGGUGGUGUCCACUCUGGUGACACUAGGCCUCGUGACUCAGUGUACCCAGGAGAGCCCCGCUGCUCUGACCCUGCUGAGCCGCUCUGCUCUUGGCCCUGAAGUACAAAACUGGUUUCUCCGCACAGAGCCUGGGACACAUCCUCCUUAGGGAAUGAUGAAGACAUGCGAUGGCCCUCCAGGCCCUAGCCGCGUGGCCCCGCUGCCCACGCAGACACAUGGCCCAGACAAGUAGAAUUCGCAUUCCCAAGACACACAGUAACCAGAGCAGUGACAGCCAUCCUGCGGGAGAAGACCCCGAGCACCCGCUAACCUGAUCCCGCUCCCCACGGAGUGCGUGCGUGCGUGCGUGCGUGCGUGUGUGUGUGUGCUGGUGGCUUCCGAGCUGCCAAGCUCGACAGUUCAUGGGCACAGAAAAUUCACGCACAAGGAUGGUGCUUUGGUCUGCAGAGCCGGGGGACGGUGCAGAGGGCAGAGAACGGGCACAGCCACACUGAGGGUCUUGCCCACAUCUUGCCAGAACGAGGCUGGGGCCCUACUUGUUCCUCUGAGACACCUGAACUCAGCUCUGCGCCAGAGCUGCCUGGUCUCAGGACCCGGCUCUGCCUGGAGGGGACUCAGGAGUCCCACACGUGGGGCCCCCUCCUCUCUCCUUAGGUUACUGUGUUCACAGACACAGAUACAUGCACAUACACACACAGACGUGCAUGUACACAGAUAUAUGCACACACAUGUGCACUCAUGUAGGCAUGCUUACUUACAUACAUACACGUGCACACACAGAGAUUCAUGUGUAUGCAUAAAUAUAUAUACACAUGAGCACACAGAUGUGUACAUGCAUAGAUAUACAUGUGUGUGCACACACGGACAUGCAAGUUCACGAUAUACAAGCAUGCACACACUGAGACAUGCAUAUACAUGCACACACGGGAAUAUACACAGACACACACAGAGACACAUGCACACACAGAGGCAUACAUACACAGGUGCACACAGAAGCACAGACACGGGCACACACAGAGGCACAGACAGACACAGACAGAAACACAGAUGCACACACACAUGCCCAAGCCCAACCUCUGCCCUCUCCGUGUUUUUCCACGUGAAAUGCACGCGGUGUGAAGCCGGCCACGCUGCCUGGUCUCUGCUCUCUCUGCUCUCACCGAAGUCGCCAGGCUCCUGUAGAAGGACGUUGGUUUGUGGCUGGGCGGAGUCUCUGCCCCUCCCGCCCAGUCUCUGGGGACGCAGUGCCCCUGGGGAGCCGCGCUACCUCUGGGGCCGACUAGUCUGCCUGUUGUCUUGCACGAUGCCUUGCAUUAGAAGAAGUGGAGACGCCCAGUCUUCGCAGGCCGGCUUUGCAGAGCUGUUUGGAAAGGAGCUGUCUGUGCAGUGAGGGCGUUUGCAGUCCUGUGCGCCCCCCACACCCUGCAGCUCCAGAGAGCUCCAUCGCCCCAAAGUGAGCUCUCUCCUGGGGAAGAAGCUUCGUCUUAUUCCUCUCUCGCCACCAAGGUGAUUUCUGCCUUGGUCGGCGGAGCUGGCCUGCACUGCUUGUGUAAGUGGGAUCAUACAAUACGCACUCUUAGGGGAUCCCCCUCCUUUGACUUAGUGCAGGGUGCUGAAGGUUCACCAAUGCUGCUGAGUGCCAGCACUCCCUCUUUUUCACAAGAGAGUAAUAUUCCACAGUGUGAGUAGACCACAUUCCGUGUCUCAUUCAUCUGCUGAAGGACAUUUGAAUUGUUUGCACUUCGGGGCUAUUGUCAGUAAGGCCCCCAGGACCCGUCGAGGAGAUGUCUUUGUUGGAGUCUGAUUUAAAUUCUCAGCCAUAUAUCCAUGAGUGGCACUGCCCUGGCGCUAGGGUCCCCUGUCUUGGAACUGCCAAGCCACCUCCCCCCAUCAGCUGUGCUCUGGUCCAUGUGCCCAAACACGACCCGUGACCUGUGAUCCCUGACCCUGACCCAGGGACUCCUCUUUGUGUCCACUGUGACAGAGGGACCACUGGGGACACACAGGUGGCCCUGGGUGCAGGCACACGGGUGAAGGGGCAUCCAUGAAGACUGGGGGCCAUGCUGAACCCAGCUGUGGUCUGUGACCAGGGGUCACCCUUGUGCCCCACAGUUGCCUGGCAGGCUCAACACUGGUGAGAGGCCACUCGGGCAUGGGGACCGCAGGUGUCACCCAGUCCCCACCAGCAGGGGAUCGGCAGGGGCCCAGGGGGCUGGGGUGUGGCCUCUCGGUGCCGGGGGAGGAGGGAGGUCAGUGGGGGCUGCAGGCCUGCCUCGGGCACUCGGUAGCCCCAUGAGGAGACCCCUACUGACCAGGCGGCAGAUGGGUAAACUGAGGACCCCGGGGGUAGGUCCAGACAAGUGCUGGCCCCAGAACUCCCACCAAGUACUUUCCUAGAAACGGCUCCCGCCAAGGCCACCUCCAGCCCUCCCACGUCCCUGUGAUGGCCAGGCAGUCCGGCCGCGCGAUGCCCGCAGGCCCUGGGCAGUUGGGAGGCUCUGGCCCGGGGAUGUUUGUUUUUGCCCCUUUGUGAGUGUUUCCAUUUGCUCUGGAAAAACAAACCUCGAUGUGCUGUGCAGUUUCAAAGCCACCGCCGGGUGCAAGAUAUCCGCUGCGGGGCCGCGCCGGGCCCGGGCGUUAUUUCAGACGUAUUGAUUUUUAUCAGCCUUCGACCUCAUUUAUUUAUGAAAAACAUCGGACUCCAAACAUGGUGCUUUGAAGACUGCAGUGAUAAGCGACCCCACGAGUCCCCAAAGUGUCCAGAGCGGGCCUGGCCCUGCCCUGGCCAGCUGUGAGCAGAGGCUCCUGGCUGGUGGACGCUUCCGGGAACUGGCAACAUCAGAGCCCGUGGGUCCGCGCCGCUGCGUCACCCGAGCAGGGCCAGGGCGGGGAGGGGCUUUGGGCUUGUGGCGCCUUUGGGGUGCUCAAGGGUGGGGGAGCCACGGUCAAGGUCACAGUCACGGUCGGCAGGGGCUCCUGAGCAGACUGGCCAGGAGAGCUCAGUCCCAGCCCCUCUGUACUCCGGGCCGGUCCUCUGCAGCUGGGCUUCCUUGGAGAUGAAGUGGCUGGGACGGAGAUCCAGGGAGGGACCAUCCGAGCUCAGGCAGGAGCCGCAGGUUCCUCAGGAGGGACGGCUGCUGGGCCCUGGCAGGGAGAUCCCCGGGAGCCGCAGCCCCUCUCCACCAUGGGCGGCCCUGUCUCCUGCCCGGCUUCCUCCUUAGGCAGCUGUGACCCUAGACGUGGAAACUCUCCCCAGUGCCCGCACGUGGCCUCUCUGGAUUCCUAGGCAUGGUGACUUCUGGAACAUUGCACCCACGGUGACUCAGAACCCGAGGCAAGAGCUUUGCUUCCCGUGGGAACAAGCAUCCAGGGAGAGCAGGGGCCAUGGGGACUGCUUGGCCAGCUUCCGGCACUGGGCACUGAUGGAGACACGCAGAAUGGCCCUCCAUCUGGAGGGGCAGUGACAGUGCACCCCACUCUGCCUGCCCUGGUUGAUACACAAGCGUGGCCCCUGGGCUCCGCUGCCCUCCUGGUUCCUGCAGGCUGCUGGGGCUGUGGCUGUGCAUGCACAGAAAUGAAACAACCAAAGUUGUCCCUCUGCAGAGGGGAAACUGAGGCUCAGAGCAGCAGGGAUUGUGUGCUGGUAGGUGUGGGGCAAGAACCUAGGCCGGUCCUCAGGCCCAGUCAGCAGCCCAGCCCCACGGCCUGUCCCUCGGACCCAUCUACACCGCGUGUCCGGGACGGGCAGAUCUGUGCGGACGGAGAGCAGAUCCGAGGUGCCUGGUUUCCUUCCAGAAAGAUGACAAUGUCUCCAGUUGACUCAGGUGGUCCUAAAUUGUGGAGAGCUGCCGGACUCUGUGAGGGCUGUAUACCUUCAGUGACAUGUGAAGGACUUUUUAAUAAAACGUUUUUCAAAAAGGCGGCAGGGAUGAGGUCCCUGACGCGGGCUCUUCGGUGACUUCCUGAGCUGCCUGCCUGGCCCCGUCCUGGGUGUGCAGCCGCUACCCCAGGACCUGGGCCCAGGCUGCUCUUGGGGGACGCCAUGGCCACAGGGGCCUGGCCGGCCGGGCCGGGUGUGCAUCUCCAGGCUCAGCCGCGGGUGCCGGGCGGCCUGCGUCUCCCUGGGUGUCUGCAGGGCCAGGAGGACAGGUGGGGUGUGCGGCUGCCCAGCCACUCUCUGACCUGCCAUGUCUUGGCCUCAGGCACCCCGUAAACACCUCGUCCUCAUUCUUUUUUCCUUUGGCCCAGCCUGAGAGCAGCGAUGGAGGCCCAGGGCUCAGUGCUCAGCAGCUCCUCGGCCUGAGGAUCCAGUGAACUGCAGUGAGAUGUGCGUGGAGACCGCUCUGCUCCAGGGACGCGUUCUCGAGGGGCCCCCGAAAGGCACGACAGCCAGGCCUGGGUUUGCUGCGGAACGUAGCUGGGGACGGAAGGACGGAUGAAGCCUCCUCCCUGCAGGGUCCGUCUUGCCCUCCUUGGGCUGGCCCCGUGCCUGUUUAGUCCCUCACUGGGCUCCCUGUGGUGCUCCCUGAAGCACCCCUGUGCCCUCACCUUGGGCAGCGCUCAGGGCCUGUCUGGUGGUGGCUGUGGCGGUGUGGCUGUGUGAUAAGAUUCACAGUGCCAUGGUUGCCCUGGGAGGACGGCUGCCCCACCGAUGCCCAGACCGCGCUGCCGGCGACCCCACCGGUCCACAGGAUGGGCUCCUUGGCAGGCCUCACUCUCAUCUGCUGUGGCCAGAUUCCCAAACACCGCCGUCCUGCCUACGCCCUGAGUGGGAAGGGAGGGUGCAGGGCCAGGAUGGGGGUGGCGGGCGGAGGCUGCAGAGCCUCCCCACCCUGCACUCGGAGGUGGAUGAGGAAGGAUGGGAAAGGAGAAGGAGGAACUGAGGAGGAGGAGAAGAGGAAAGAGGAGGAGGAUGCUCUGAGGCGCUGACUGGCUCCCGUCAGCUCUGCUCUGUGGGCUCAGGAGGCAGGGAAGGGGCCAAGUAGGACAGCUUGGGCCGGGCCCUGUGUCCACUCCUGAGCGGUCAGCAGUUCCAGACUGGAAGCACGAGGUGGGGACAGACAUGUCCAGAAGGACAGAGGCUAUGAGGAUGGGUGGCCCACGCUGGUCCCGGGGCUAUCAGUGCUCAGGAGGGGAAGGACACACACACGGGGACCCGAUUCCUCCCGGCUCAUUGGUCCAGGAUGGCCAGACCCUGGGCGCACAGAGCGGCCCCCUCAGCAUGGGCUGGGCUGUCCUCCUCCUCCCUGCCUCCCGUGUCUCCUUAGGGCCCCUGGGCUCAGGAAGUCGGGCUGAGCACAGGUGGGGGUGGGAUCUCAGCAGGGGUCAUGAGUGAGUGACCCCCUUGGACAGGACACCUCGUGGGCAGUGGAGACAAAGGGGGCUCUGCGGAGCCCUCAGGGCUCCCAGCAAGUGCGGAGAAGUGAGACAUUUGUCUACUCUGAGGGUGACUGUCCAGUGCUGACCGAUGGGAACAGUGGGCCUCCCACCAACAGUGGUCACUCAGCCGGAGAGAUGGCCCUGCAACAGCCUGACCUCGGCUUGACCAGUGUGUCUGUCCUCAGAGACCCAGUUCCAAGUGAGACUGUGCCCUGAGGUCCCAGCAGCUGGGGAGUCAGUGUGUGGAUUAGGGGUGACGCAGUUCACCCCGUAACAGGUGGGGGACAGCAGAGCAGGCUGCCUUGCUGCAGGGAGAUGCUGGGAUCCCCGGUCAGUGCUCCUGAUGGGUGGCACAGCCGGUGUCCCUGGGCCAGUGUGGGACGCGGCCCCAGGAGGGUCCCCGGGGAUGCUUGGGCUUGGUGCCCGGGCCUCAUGCAGCCUCUGGCAGCACCAGGCUCCUCUUGCUGGCUGUGGGGUCCAUCACCGCCUCAGAGCUCCAGCUAGCUCCACCCAGCGGCUCCAGACCCCACCUGCCUGUGGGGAGGGGAGGGCGUGCGCCCAGCCCAGCCCAGCCCAGCCCAGCGGCUCCACGGCAGUGACUGUGUCCACCUCUGACCCCAGAGCCGCAGGGACUCCCGGAGCACCCAGGGCCUGAGCGCUGCCGUGGCUUUAGCGUGGAGUCCCCGGAGCCCGCGCUGGCCAGCCGGCUCCUCCCCCGGGACAAUCCAUCUCCGCUUCUUGCUGUCUAGACUUGUUAUCUGGCCCUAAUUCCUGUGAGCUGAGCAGGCGGCAGCGGGCCUCGAGAUAGCAAGGGGAUGAGGUCAUGGGCGUAAAUCCUGAGGCAGGAAGUCCAUUCCGGGACGAUGGAUGAGCGGGCCGGUGCCCGCGCGGGGCGAGAUAACGUGUCUAGACUGCGGCCAUUUCCUCCUCUUCCUCGGCCGUGUCGGGCCUGCCCUGCCUUCCUGUGCCCUGCGUCCGUGCCUCCGGGAGAAGCCCCUCGGGGUUGCCUCUGCUCCGCUGGGGCCGCUGCUCCUCCGGGCCUCCCUCGGGAGUGAGUCCUUCUCCAAGUCCCUGGUGACCGCAGGCCUUUCUGCAGAGGUCACACCGCUUCUGCCACUGUGUCAUUUUGGAGAGUUCAGCGGGUGAGCGGAGGAUGACGUUUGUUCUCCCCGAGUCCAGAGGUCUCUGGGAGGCCAGGGGCAGACGGGGCACUCGGCUGAUGUAAAACAGACACGGUGAUUUCUGCACCUCCGAGGGAAGCACCUUAUCUCAGCUGCCCAGGGCUGCAGGACACUGAGCAACCUCAGGUUUCCGGAACAAGGAGCUCUGCUCGAGUCCGGUGCGGCCGGCUCAGCGCUGGGCGGUCAGGUCCUUCAGCUCGGGGGCCAACACUGAAGGGCGCAGGGUGCGGGAGAAAUUGGCCCCCAAUGGCAGCUGCGGGAAGCCCCUGAACGCCAGAGCCCGAGGCUCAGAGCCACUGCACACUGGACACCUGGGCCAGCAGUCACAGAUUGCAGAGCCCAGCAGUCACAAUGACAGAAGGAAAAGGAACAGGACACUCCUGGGCACAGGGUCACGCCCAGCCCGCUGCAGUGUCGUUCAGCCACGACCAGGACUGUGGGCUCCCAUGGGGCACAGACGGUCACCGUGGCAGCUACCUCGGGACUCAGCGGAGAGGCGUCUGCGGGAGCCACGGCUGUAGGAAGUGCAGUAGAGUUCAGGCCCAGCCCUCGUGAGAGCCGCUCAACCACCCGGGUCCACUCUGAGACCCGGCUCCCACGGCCUCUGUCCUGUGUGCAGCAUGGAUGUCCGCCAGUGGCCCUUCCUGUCCCCCUGCACAGCCACUCCUUCAUGCCUAGGGGGUGCAGGGACCUGGCUUCCCUUUCCCUCCCUACCCUGGGGCUGGCUGAGUACCAGACAUGCGUGAUUGGCAGCAGAAAAAGCUGCACAGUGACGGCCAGGACAGCAAACCUGGGAAUGUGGCCUGCUGAUGCCCAAGGUCACCCACUGCGGGCAGAGCCAUGGCUGGAGGGGGACCCAGGAAAGGAGACUCAACGAACAGCAGGGACUGGACCCCAAAGUGACUGGAGCCCCAGAUGGUCACAGCAGGGUCCACUGAUGCUACACAGCCCCCAGGAAAAGUUGUGUUUAUAGCAAGGGGGCGCUUGGCAGGAGACAGCAAUGAGGUCCUGAACUGUCGUGCAGGGAAUAGCAUGCAGGUGUGAAAAAGAGGGGACAUUUGUACCUCACAGAAAAGUCAACAAAAUAUAUUCAAGGAAAUC